rnacentral:rRNA from 1 species
GACAGAGGAUGCAAGCGUUAUCCGGAAUGAUUGGGCGUAAAGCGUCUGUAGGUGGCUUUUCAAGUCCGCCGUCAAAUCCCAGGGCUCAACCCGGGACAGGCGGCGGAAACUGGCAAGCUGGAGUACGGUAGGGGCAGAGGGAAUUUCCGGUGGAGCGGUGAAAUGCGUAGAGAUCGGGAAGAACACCAACGGCGAAAGCGCUCUGCUGGGCCGACACUGACACUGAGAGACGAAAGCUAGGGGAGCAAAUGGG